AUGGUUACUGAGCUCAGAGAGGGAAGUGAAACAGCCAAGACCAGUUUGAUCCAAUUGGGUCGAGUCGCCCCCACCCUGACGGUGCUGCCCCCCUCCAGCCAGGAGCUGCAGCAGGGGAAGGCCACGCUCACGUGUCUGGCCAACAAGGGCUUCCCCUCAGACUGGAGUCUGGCCUGGAAGGUGGACGGCAGCAGCAGCGGCAGCAGCAGCUGGGAGCAGAGCAGGAGCCCCGGGGUGCUGCAGGCGGACGGCCACUACAGGUGGAUCAGCACCCUGAGGCUCACUGCAGACCAGUGGGGGAAGGUGGGCUCUGUGACCUGUGAGGCCACCCAGGGCUCCCAGACUCCACUCUCAGAGACACUGAGCAGAGACCAGUGUUCCCAGUCCUGA